AUACUUACCUGGCGCGGGGGAUACCGUGAUCAAGAAGGCGGUGCCUCCAGGACGAGGCCUGUACAUUGCACUCCGUAUGGGCUGACUCCUGCGACUACCCAAAUCGGGGUGCUCGAGCGCGCAUAAUUUUUGGUAGUGGGGACAAGCGUUCGCGCUGUCCUUU
rnacentral:snRNA from 1 species